rnacentral:lncRNA from 1 species
ACGUUGUUGCUCACGACUCUUUCUCACUCAACACUCGCAACUACGGGUGAUCAAAGUUUUUACGGCCGACAUCAACAUGAGUUGUUUUUCACCGACGUUGGCCGAGAUUUUUUCGAUCAAAAUUUUUUGUAUGAUGUCAACCAAAACUAUUUUUUGCUGAUAUUGACUAAGAUUUUUUUUAGAUGAUGUUGGUUAGAGAUAAUUUUUCACUGACGUCGUUCAUGGGAAUUUUUUGCUGACGUUGGCCAAGGAUUUUUUUUGCUGUUGUCAUCCAGGUUUUUUUCAAUUGAUGUCACACCAAUGAUUUUUUUUUGCCGACGUUGGCUAGAUUUCUUCUACUGACAUUGGUCAUGACUAACUUUUGAGUAGACAUCUGCUAGGGUUUUUCAGCCGACAUCAUCUAGGUUUUUCCAGCCAACAUCAGCCAAAGUUAUUUUUUUAGUCAAUAUCGGCUAGGGUUAUUUUUCAGCCGAUGUUAGCUAGGGUGUUUUGACUGAUGUCAAUUAGAUUUUCUUAGCCAAUGUCGGUUAGGAUUUUUUUUUUGCUGAUAUCGACUAUUGC